CAGUAGCCGCGGGAAUACAGAGGGUGCGAGCGUUAAUCGGAUUUACUGGGCGUAAAGCGUGCGUAGGCGGCUUUUUAAGUCGGAUGUGAAAUCCCUGAGCUUAACUUAGGAAUUGCAUUCGAUACUGGGAAGCUAGAGUAUGGGAGAGGAUGGUAGAAUUCCAGGUGUAGCGGUGAAAUGCGUAGAGAUCUGGAGGAAUACCGAUGGCGAAGGCAGCCAUCUGGCCUAAUACUGACGCUGAGGUACGAAAGCAUGGGGAGCAAACAGGAUUAGAUACCCCUGUAGUCCCUGUCCUUAUACC
rnacentral:rRNA from 1 species